rnacentral:rRNA from 1 species
GACGAACGCUGGCGGCGUGCUUAACACAUGCAAGUCGAACGGAAAGGCCCUGCUUGCAGGGUACUCGAGUGGCGAACGGGUGAGUAACACGUGGGUGAUCUGCCCUGCACUUUGGGAUAAGCCUGGGAAACUGGGUCUAAUGCCGGAUAGGAGCCAUUUUUAGUGUGAUGGUUGGAAAGUUUUUUUCGGUGUAGGAUGAGCUCGCGGCCUAUCAGCUUGUUGGUGGGGUAAUGGCCUACCAAGGCGGCGACGGGUAGCCGGCCUGAGAGGGUGGACGGCCACAUUGGGACUGAGAUACGGCCCAGACUCCUACGGGAGGCAGCAGUGGGGAAUAUUGCACAAUGGGCGCAAGCCUGAUGCAGCGACGCCGCGGGGGGGAUGACGGCCUUCGGGUUGUAAACUCCUUUCGCUAGGGACGAAGCUUUUUGUGACGGUACCUAGAUAAGAAGCACCGGCUAACUACGUG